rnacentral:tRNA from 1 species
GAGGAAAAAGCAUAAAAUAUGCGGUUGACUUGAAAUCGACAGAUGGUGGUUAAAAUCUG